AUGCCUUCCUCCUGAUCAGGAAGUGAACAUGGUGUCACUGACAGGACUGCUCCUUGGUGCUCCCAUGAGAAAUUUUCUGCUCUCCAGUUGCCAGGACUCUGCCUGCCCAUGUGUGCCUUGAGGUCCUUGCAGUGCAUAUCUGUGACCCCAGUGACUUGGGAGGCUGAGGCAGGAGGAUUACAAGUUCAAAGCCAGCCUCAGCAAUUUAGUGAGGUCCUAAGCAACUGAGUGAGACCCUGUCUCUAGAUAAAACUCAAAAGUGAUAUGGGUGCAGAUCAGUGAGGGAGCCCCCCUGGGUACAACCCCAGUGCCAGGAAAAGAAAACCUGCAACACCCCAGGUGCUCCCCGAGCACUCUCAGCCUUCAAGAUGGCACUUCUCUUCCUUCCCCUGUCCAUCCUCUGGACUUCUCCACCUGCUGUCGCGAAGAUGGAGGUUGUUGGAAGAUUCACGCCUUUAGUUGGCACUAGGACAGUCACGCCUCGUUCAGGAGAACAGUGCACGGUGACAUGAAGCGGCUUGGUGUUCACAGUGAGCACCUUCGGGGAACUGAAGACGGUGUGCUUGCCAAAGAUGGCCAGGAUGGACACACACAGGGGCUUAAGCUUUGAGGACUUCCUCAUGAAGCAGGAUGCCAAGAGCCCCCAAAGAAGAAGCGAUCUGUGGUGUUGGAUGGGAUCCUGGAGCAGCUGCAGGACAGUGACCCUGACGGCGAGGAGCAGACCAUUCAGCUGUGAGCUGGCACCAGAGG